GCCGCCCCUAGCCUCGUCCCCCUCGCGCCUCCACCCCCUAGCCUCGCCUUCUCCUCCUCCCGUCCUCUCCUCCGCCGCUCGGUCGCCGUGCCCGUGCUGCUCAACCCCCGCUGCCCCAUCGGCUGCUCCGCCGCCGUUCAUGGCAUCCGGGAGGCACGCGGCCGCGCCCCCUCCCGUCAUGCCGUCAAGGGUAUGAGGCAGGGGUGGCGGCGCGAGGUUUGCCCUCCGCCACCUCACGGCCUCUCGCACCGCCACCUUCUCUCCCGGGCCUCCUCCCCAGCGCUCGAGGCGCAGCAGCGUGGACGCCGCCACGUUCUUGAUCCAGUCGGAUCUGGCGCAGGUCGCCGUCAUCCGGCGCCGCACGGCAUGAUUCCAGAUCGGGCGAGGUCGCCGCCAGGAGAGCAGGAGCGGCUGCUGCAGCGAGUGCAGCGGAGGAGCCCAUCCUGGUCAAGCCCCACCCCGGCGGCUGCGUGUAGAGGAGGAGAGGUCGAGGAUGGCCCCAGUUCGUGGAGGUGAGUUCGUUCUUUCUGACCUGGUCUCAUCCACUAAUUCAUGGCUUCCUUUUUUUGUUUUUAUAUGCUGCAGAUAGGGUUAGCAAGGAGGAGGUUUUCCCUGCGAAGAGGCAGCGUGAGGCUGCACCGGCGCCUACCCAUCUAUGCAUGUACAGAGAAUGGAUGAUGUCAAGUGGGUAAGGACGCCGUCAGUACGUGAUAAGAUUAGGUGCUGGACUUCUGGGUACCACGUCCACCCCAUGCCCAAAUCACACAGGUUGCAGUCACAAGGAUGAUCUGGCCGACCAUGUCAGCAAAGCCAACGCAACAGAGUUGAAGGAAAUAUUACGACAUGAACAUGGUGUGAUGACCCGUGUGCAACCUCAACAAGUGUGAAGGUGCUGCUAAGUUAGAGGAUUGAUUAGAAAGUUGAGUCGUUGCUUUUCUACUUCAAACUGAUGGAUUUAUCUUCAGCCAAAAAAAAGCAGGCUUGGUUAGCUUCAAGAAGAAAAUAUUUCAAAACCGUGUACCUAUUGAAAUGGCAUGGAAGACAGAGAUGGUAGCAGCCUGCAUCCUCAAAUUGGAGUUGCCUCUUGGGGAGUAUCAGGUUGCUGAAAUGACGACCAGGGUGGAUGCCCAUAGUUACAGAAAUAUCUACCUGGGAGGAGGCGCCGAAAUUGUAAGUGCAUGCUUACAGAGUUCUAUCAUGCACAAUCAUGUAUGCACACCGGUCUAUCCAAAAGAUUAGCUCGCGACCCUCUCCGCCCGCACCGCCGGCUCCCCGGGAGGCCGCAUCCGGCCUGCCACAAGUACACCUAUGUCGCCGCCUCCCCGGGGGCCACAAUUGGAAGUGGAUGACCAAGGAGAAGGCACGCGGCGGGGGCCAGGUGAUCAAGUGGGAGGCGGAGCUCGCCUCCCCCAAUGGCGACGACUUCAACCUCAAGUGGAAGUGGGAGGCCAAGUCCAAGCCUGGUGCUGCCGGCAAGGCCAAAACCAAGUGGGGCACCCAGGAAGCCAACAAAGAUGACAAGAAGAAGCCGACGAUGAAGUGCGUCCAGAGCAAGGAGAUCCCCGCUGGCUGCGACAUCCAGAUCGAGUUUGUUCUGUAGACACACAACAACUGCAACAUCCAUGAACUCCGGUGGAAUCCUCAACCAAGGUUCGCCAGUACCUGAGUCGUUUGCCUUGUCUCAAAAGAGGUUAUAUAAGCUACAUAUUUGUGUGUGCAUUUUCACUUCUCCUUUACCAGCCACAACUUUGCUUUAUAGUGCGCAACUAUCUGACGAGGGUUAAGUAACUGAGAAACUAAGCUUUGGGAGAUCCAAAAUCGUUUUAGAUGGUACAUCAUGAGAAUGAAAUUCAUGUUUUCCACCUUGAGGUUGUUACACGCGUACUGAUUUUUCUCUUUGUUGAGAAAAUAAAUUGUUUUGUCUUCCUAUGCAUAAAAAAAUAGUGAAUCUGAUGCUCCAUCAAGGUGGGCUGAAAGGAUUGAAAUUACUCAACUUAUUUUUUUGUUAUAUCUGAUUAUAGAUAUUUUAUAUAGUAUCAUAUACUGUUAAUAAACAAUUUUGCUUUUUGCUUGACAUUGAUGUGGUGGUGAUUUGCUUUAUAGGUUAAAUUAUCUUACCGCCAUAAUGGUUUACCGAAUAAAGAUUUGUUUUGUCAUGUUUUUAUACCAUGUCUUCAGGAUUUUUCAGUUCUCUUGCCAUACAUAACAUGUCACAGUCCUUCAGGUUUUUGGGCUGUUCUUCUGCCAUUCCAUCUAUAUGUGUGUGUGUGUGUGUGUGUGUGUGUGUUCAUGUGACAUUUUUUGUGACAUGCUCAAAGUGAUGUAAUUAACCAGACCAUUACUGUUAUUAGUGCUUAGUUCCUCCUAUAUCUUUCUUUGAGAAAUUCUAAUGAUGUGGUCUAUAUUUCCUUCAAUCUGUGGAAUAUAUAUUGUGUAACCA